CCCCACUAGAUUAGCUAGACACAGAGCACUGAUUGGUGCGUUUACAAACCUCUUGUAGACACAGAGUGCUGAUUGGUGGAUUCACAAACCUCUAGCAGACACAGAGUGCUGAUUGGUGCAUUCACAGACCUCUUGUAGACACAGAGUGCUGAUUGGUGGAUUCACAAACCUCUAGCAGACACAGAGUGCUGAUUGGUGCAUUCACAAACCUUUAGCUAGACACAGAGUGCUGAUUGAUGCAUUCACAAUCCUCCAGCUAGACAGAAAAGUUCUCCAAGUCCCCACCUGUCCCAGAAGCCCAGCCGGCUUCACCUCUCACUGGCACUAGCCUGUGGCGCCUAGCCAGGGCACUCAGGCAGCCCAGAGGGAGCUCCUCCCCCCAUCAAGCCCAGCAGGCGCAGGCCGGCCACGCCUGCGAGCGCCACCAGCAGCCCCGGCUCCCACCGGCGCCUCUUGCUCCACACCUCCACGCAAGCAGAGGGAGCCGGCUCCAGCCUCGGCCAGCCCCAGAGAGGGUCCCCCACAGUGCAGUGGCGGCCAGAGCGGAUGCCGAGGCCCAGGAGGCGCCGAGAGCGAUUGAGGGCUGCUAGCACAUUGUCACCUCUCACUAACACCAGAAGAGGUGGAGAUGGUCCAUAUUUACAUUUGUUGCAGACAAUGAGACAAAUUUAGUCAAUACUCCACAAAUUGCCAGAAGUAAUGUUAUUUGACCCAACAGGAGGGAGAAAGCGGAAUUUGUGUGGAGAGUAAGAUGCUGACGUUUGGACGUGCAGAGAAGAGUUUCCAUAUAGCAGGAAAAGCCAUUUUUCCUUUCUCUCCAGCUUGUAAGGAA
rnacentral:lncRNA from 1 species